UAAUGUAAAGGAAACUAUGAUAUAUAUGCCGUAAUUUGGGUAUCAGACAUAUAUGGAGUUAAUGAUACAACCGACCUUACAUCU
rnacentral:ncRNA from 22 species